GACCCUUAUCGGUCUCGCGAAUGCAUAACAGAUGUUUAAUGAUCAUGGCUCAGAGUGAACGCUGGCGUUAGGCCUAACACAUGCAAGUCGAACGGCAGCACAGGAGAGCUUGCUCUCUGGGUGGCGAGUGGCGGACGGGUGAGGAAUACAUCGGAAUCUACUUUUUCGUGGGGAUAACGUAGGGAAACUUACGCUAAUACCGCAUACGACCUACGGGUGAAAGCAGGGGAUCUUCGGACCUUGCGCGAUUGAAUGAGCCGAUGUCGGAUUAGCUAGUUGGCGGGGUAAAGGCCCACCAAGGCGACGAUCCGUAGCUGGUCUGAGAGGAUGAUCAGCCACACUGGAACUGAGACACGGUCCAGACUCCUACGGGAGGCAGCAGUGGGGAAUAUUGGACAAUGGGCGCAAGCCUGAUCCAGCCAUACCGCGUGGGUGAAGAAGGCCUUCGGGUUGUAAAGCCCUUUUGUUGGGAAAGAAAUCCAGCUNGGCUAAUUACCCGGUUGGGAUGACGGUACCCAGAGAAUAAGCACCGGCUAACUUCGUUGCCAGCAGCCGCGGGUAAUACGAAGGGGUGCAACAGCGUUUACUCGGAAUUACUGGGGCGUNAAGCGUGCCGUAAGUGGNCCGUUAAAUCCCGUUUUAAAAACACCCGGGGGNCAAACCUCUGGGAAANCUGGCGGGAAANNACCGGGGCGACCACNAAAAUUUUGGUUCAACACAGGGGUUACGCCGGGAAANUCCCCGGNUUNUUCACCUAAAUUACGCUUAAANNNACCGGGGGGAAACAUUCACUUGGGGAAAAGGCCAGUACCCNGAGACCAACCUUUGACUUGUNCAUCUACANCGUUCUGUNNGCGGUCACANAUAAUACCCACGANUUCUUCUCUACAGCAGACNCGACCNUAUUUGNUUGGUUAGAGACCGCCNUAAUUAUAUAAUUAUUNUCCUCNUNGNAUGAGAGAUANUCAAANNUAGGGGCGCGGGUGUUGUUAUACCUCUACUNANUGANACGANNG
rnacentral:rRNA from 1 species